GGGUUCAUCUUCAUGAGGUGUAAUGGCGCCGGGAUGCGCUCUCCUCUUCUCAUUUGCCAAUUUAUUGCAGAUCCCUCCUCAAAAAAGUUUUGGGACUAACUCAGCCCCAUGGAGAUCAAGGUGAAUUAGAAAAACAACAAAACAAAACAAGAUUCAUUUUAACAUCUCAUUUUUCUAUCUCCAACUUUCCCUCCCCUCCUCCCACCCCAGGAAGAAAAGACUACGUUUGUUUCUGGUGAUACAUUCAUUGUAGGUGGGUGGGUGACUUCUAGAAGAGGAAAAUCAAGAAGAUUUGGAGAAGGAGUCUUGGAAGCUCUGGUGAAGUUUUCCAAAACUGGGAAGGACAGAGCUAAGAAGGAAUCAGUGGCCUUAAGAAGACAAUCUUGAAAAAGGACCUAAGUGAUGGAUGCCCACUGGAUCCAAAGAGAGAAACUCUAUAGAAUUAUGAUCUAGGUUUGACUGACUCCUGGCAAGAAGCCCUACCCGCCAGCCAAUUUGGAUGAGCUCUUAUGCUCCAGAUCCAUCAUGAGAAGAACAUGCCCUGGAUUCCUGCUAUCCCUUUAGCCAUGGCUCCAAAAUUAACACACACAAGGAAGACCUGAGGUCAAUCCACAGCCUGGAUUCAAGUCACCUAAUACAUAGGAGAAUCAGAGCUACCCAGCCACACUCAAUCUACGUUAACUGAACCUCAGCUGACCUGCAGAUUUAUGAGUAUGAGAAUAAAGGCUUGUUAAUGUAUAUCA
ensembl:lncRNA LINC01980 long intergenic non-protein coding RNA 1980